rnacentral:rRNA from 1 species
GAUGAACGCUGGCGGCGUGCCUAAUACAUGCAAGUCGAGCGAACGGACGAGAAGCUUGCUUCUCUGAUGUUAGCGGCGGACGGGUGAGUAACACGUGGAUAACCUACCUAUAAGACUGGGAUAACUUCGGGAAACCGUAGCUAAUACCGGAUAAUAUUUUGAACCGCAUGGUUCAACAGUGGAAGACGGUCUUGCUGUCACUUAUAGAUGGAUCCGCGCUGCAUUAGCUAGUUGGUAAGGUAACGGCUUACCAAGGCAACGAUGCAUAGCCGACCUGAGAGGGUGAUCGGCCACACUGGAACUGAGACACGGUCCAGACUCCUACGGGAGGCAGCAGUAGGGAAUCUUCCGCAAUGGGCGAAAGCCUGACGGAGCAACGCCGCGUGAGUGAUGAAGGUCUUCGGAUCGUAAAACUCUGUUAUUAGGGAAGAACAUAUGUGUAAGUAACUGUGCACAUCUUGACGGUACCUAAUCAGAAAGCCACGGCUAACUACGUG